GACGAACGCUGGCGGCGUGCUUAACACAUGCAAGUCGAACGGAAAGGCCCUGCUUUUGUGGGGUGCUCGAGUGGCGCACGGGCGAGUAACACGUGAGUAACCUGCCCUUGACUUUGGGAUAACUUCAGGAAACUGGGGCUAAUACCGGAUAGGAGCUCCUGCUGCAUGGUGGGGGUUGGAAAGUUUCGGCGGUUGGGGAUAGACUCGCGGCUUAUCAGCUUGUUGGUGGGGUAGUGGCUUACCAAGGCUUUGACGGGUAGCCGGCAUUGGAGGUUGACCGGCCACAUGGGGACUAAGAUACGGCGCAGCCUCCUACGGGAGGCAGCAGUGGGGAAUAUUGCACAAUGGGCGGAAGCCUGAUGCAGCAACGCCGCGUGCGGGAUGACGGCCUUCGGGGUGGAAACCGCUUUCGCCUGUGACGAAGCGUGAGUGACGGUAAUAGGUAAAGAAGCACCGGCUAACUACGUG
rnacentral:rRNA from 1 species